AAGACCCACGGAUUGGUCAUCUUCAGGAAGAAGAUUCGAUUGUUUAGGAUGAACAAUUGGCAUGGAAAGCAAAGGACAUUGGCUUGGACGCUAGUAACUAGGAUGGUUGCGCAAGGACAGACAAUGGACGCUUAACGGACUAAGGCAAUUUCUGUCAGGGUGACGGAAUCAGGGACACCGCUUAAGGAUAAAGCGAUGAGAGUUAACUGGGAUAGUUAACGGGCUGGAUUGCCAAGGACACCGCUAGGACGGCGAUGGUAAGGAAAGAGCUGAAGGAUUCAGUGUACUAUCAAGGAAUAGAUGCAGGGAGCACCUAUUAGUAGCCGGAUUGCUGCGAGUAAAGAUUAAACCCCACUAGGCGAGAGCUUAGUGGGGUUUUCUUUUUGU
rnacentral:other from 1 species